UACGUAGGGGGCAAGCGUUGUCCGGAAUUACUGGGCGUAAAGCGCCUGUAGGCGGGAACGUGCGUCGGACGUGAAAGGCGGGGGCUUAACCCCCGAGCGGCGUUCGAAACGGCGUUUCUUGAGGGUCGAAGAGGAGCGUGGAAUUCCUGGUGUAGCGGUGAAAUGCGUAGAGAUCAGGAGGAACACCCAUGGCGAAGGCAGCGCUCUGGGCUGAGAUUGACGCUCAGGCACGAAAGCGUGGGGAGCAAACAGG
rnacentral:rRNA from 1 species